ensembl:lncRNA
GUCCCUCCCUCAACUUCUCAAGAGCCAAUAAUACACCACCUUCACCUUGUAUUAGGUGGGUUUAUCGAGUUAUAGCCCAAUGAAUACAAGGUAAACCCAAACAUGAUUGAAAAAAACACGUUUUCACCAUGUAGAUUACAACCGAACCCUGAUACAAACUAAUGUUCUUAAAGGAACAGAUAACAAUAUAAUUUUAUACUAAAGAAAAAUAAAAUCCGUACCCAAACAUUAAAUAAAGUGGUUUUUAAUCACUGGGGUUUCACUCUCCCCGCUCUAAACUCUCAUGUCCUCAUGAGUCUAUAGGGAAACUCAAAAUCCUGUCUGCAUUGUGGCUAGAACAGCUAAAUUAUAAUUUGCUUUGGUACACUUAGCACACUGGGCCAGAGGAUGACACCAAAGUGUGUUACAACAGCUUUUCAUCUCAAGAGAGUUUCUAAGAUGUAUGACCAUGCCUUGGUAAACAAUCGACAAGGGUUUGUCUGAGGGCUGUCCAAGAUCAUCAUAACUAAGCUUAAUGACAGGUUUUAUUGUUCUCUUGGGACGACUGUCAGUAGAGGCUGUGUCCACAGCUGGAAUGUCACAGAUAGGGGUUUCUGUCUCCUGUGGCAACUCCUCUUCCUGAUUUCCCUCUGUUACACUGUCUUGACUUCGACCUCCAUCAGCCCUGUGUUCUGCUUCUUCAACUACAAGCUCAGGCAACAAUGUACACAGGGGCUUGUUCUGCAUUAUACAUCGUUCUGGUAUGUAGUAGCAAAUUUCAUCAUCACUAUCAGAAGUUGGUUCCCCUCUGUUCUGUUCAUUGGUGGGAGAUACCUUUUCUUUUAAUUGCUUUUCCCUUGCAGUUUGGGCUCUUGUUAUUUGUCGUCUCAUGUCUUCAACAGUACCACUAGGAGUAGAAAUUCUCACACUGUCUCCAAUUGGUAAUAGGUGAUCUCUAUGAAGAGUCCUCACUCGUCCGGUUCCAGUUUGCGGUCUCAAUUUGUAUACCGGUAAGUUCUUUAACUUUUCUGUCACAAUGUAAGGCACAGGAUUCCACCUGUCCUCUAAUUUGUGUUUCCCCGUUUGUGCCAGAUUUCUUAUGAAAACACGAUCUCCUUUACCAAGCAGUUGGAUUUUCACUUUUUUGUCAUAACGUUGUUUGUUUCGUUGAUGAUUUUUCAAGGAGGUCUCCUCCGCUAACUGGUAAGCUUUUUGUAGUUCACGUCGCAUUCCUUCCACAUACUGCAAAUAAGUUACUUCCUUAUCUCCAUCAGGUGACGUGCCAAAGCAAAGAUCCACAGGUAGACGUGCUUCCCGUCCGAAGAGGAGAUAAUAAGGUGAGUAGCCAGUCGCAUCAUUUUUAGAACAAUUAUAAGCGUGGACCAAUUGACUGAUAUGUUGGCUCCAUUUGACUUUCUUUGCUGGAUCAAGAGUCCCUAACAUCGAAAGAAGGGUGCGAUUAAACCGCUCUGGUUGCGGAUCACCCUGUGGGUGGUAAGGAGUCGUGCGGGACUUUCGGAUCCCCAAAAUCCCAAGGAGCUCCUUAAUGAGACGGCUUUCAAAGUCUCUUCCUUGAUCAGAAUGUAUCCGUGCAGGGAGCCCAUAGUGCACGAAGAAUUUUUCACAAAGAACCUUAGCAACCGUCACAGCUUUUUGAUCCUUUGUGGGGAAGGCUUGUGCAUACCGUGUAAAAUGAUCUGUUAUGACCAGGACAUUCGCAAUCCCUUUUGAAUCGGGUUCGAUAGAAAGGAAGUCGAUACAUACAAGGUCUAAAGUUCAACUGUCCGCUCAACCCCUAGAUGCCCAGCAUCAUCAUGCAAAGACUUCAUUACUUGAA